AAAAAAAAAAAAAGAAAAGGGGGACAAUCCCCCUCACCCAAAAAAAAAAAGAACAAAAAAAAAUAAAGAAAAAAUAUAAAAAGAGCAAAAAAAAGAAAAAAAAAAAAAAAAAAGCCCUAAAAUGACAAAAAAAAGAAAAAAAAAAAAAAAACCACUCCACGACCCCUCCAACACCUUCCCCCCUGCAUCAAUAAAUGUAAUUUGAUUUUUUUUCAGAAGGCGGCGAUAUUUGGGUCUCGCUGGGGGUGGGGGGACCCCAAAACCAGGUGAAGGAACUCAGAGAACCAAGUGAGGGAACCCCAAGAAUCAAGUGAGGGAACCCCAAGAAUUAAGUGAAGGGACCCCAAAACCAGGUGAGAUUCCCAGGAACCACCUGUGGGACCCCAAAGACCACAUGAGACCCCAAGAACCAAGUGAGGGGAACCCCAAAACCAGGUGAAGGACCUCACAGAACCCCAAAACCAGGUGUGGGGACCCCAAAACCAGGUGAG